rnacentral:rRNA from 1 species
GCGGCGAACGGGUGAGUAACACGUGGGCAACCUGCCUCAAGGACUGGGAUAACUCCGGGAAACCGGGGCUAAUACCGGACGAUGUCGUCUCGUGCAAGCGAGCCGACCAAAUGGUAGCUUCGGCCUCCGCCUUGAGAUGGGCCCGCGUCCUAUCAGCUUGUUGGUGAGGUACGGCUCACCAAGGCUACGACGGGUAGCUGGUCUGAGAGGAUGAUCAGCCACACUGGGACUGAGAUACGGCCCAGACUCCUACGGGAGGCAGCAGUGGGGAAUCUUGCGCAAUGGGCGAAAGCCUGACGCAGCAACGCCGCGUGAGCGAAGAUGGCCUUCGGGUUGUAAAGCUCUGUCAGGGGGAAAGAAGGCACCUGGGUUAAUAGCCCAAGGGCUGACGGUACCCCCAAAGGAAGCCACGGCUAACUACGUGCCAGCAGCCGCGGUAAUACGUAGGUGGCAAGCGUUGUCCGGAAUCAUUGGGCGUAAAGAGCGCGUAGGUGGCUUGUCAGGUCUGAUGUGAAAUUUCGGGGCUCAACCCCGACCCUGCAUCGGAAACCGGCUUGCUAGAGUCUGGGAGAGGAGAGUGGAAUUCCUGGUGUAGCGGUGAAAUGCGUAGAUAUCAGGAGGAACACCGGUAGCG